rnacentral:rRNA from 1 species
UGGGGAAUCUUGCACAAUGGGGGAAACCCUGAUGCAGCGACGCCGCGUGAGUGAUGAAGCCCUUCGGGGUGUAAAGCUCUUUCGACAGGGACGAUAAUGACGGUACCUGGAGAAGCAGCUGCGGCUAACUACGUGCCAGCAGCCGCGGUAAUACGUAGGCAGCAAGCGUUGUUCGGAGUUACUGGGCGUAAAGGGUGCGUAGGCGGCCCUAUAAGUAUGGUGUGAAAUCUCCCGGCUUAACUGGGAGGGUGCGCCGUAGACUGUGGGGCUAGAGUGUGGGAGAGGAAAGUGGAAUUCCUGGUGUAGCGGUGAAAUGCGUAGAUAUCAGGAGGAACACCGGUGGUGUAAACGGCUUUCUGGACCAUAACUGACGCUGAGGCACGAAAGCGUGGGUAGCAAACAG